UCGUCUUCUUCAUAUGACGUCUGAACUUUCCCUCUCCAUCUCCAUUUCUCUCAUCUAUUCUUUUCACUUUAUUCUCUGUUCCGUUUUAUUUCCGGCAAAAUACGGAGACUUGUGGUGGAGAUCCACCGCUCGGGUUCAACCCGGGGCUCCGUGGGAUCGAAAUUAAAGGAGAGUUGCGCCGGACCUCGGAGGUCCACGAAUGAAGUUUCCAGCAGUGCUUGUCGGACUACGGUGGUAUUGGUCGACCCCACUCGAUCCACCUGGGUCCAUCAUUGUUAUCAGAUAUUAAGAUUUAUGAGGUCAAGCAAAGACUUACUGGAGCACCAUGUGGGGAAGGGCCAGUUUGAAUGGUCUAGCCAAUUUCCUCUUGAUUUUCAGAGCAGUUUGCAUCAUUCAAUGAAUUUUCCUUUGUACAUAACACGUUGUUCUGUAUGUUAUUCAGAUCAUCUUAGAAAAUAAUCACUAAUAUGAGUUUUCCAUUUGAGAGAA